rnacentral:lncRNA from 1 species
CUCAUGCCCCUCAAAAGAAAGAAAAAGAGUCAGACAUGAGGGCAGACGUAGGGGUGAAUGUUGGGUGCUCUGUGACUGGUGGUGUGAUCCCGGACAAGCAUCGUGACAUUUCUGAAUCUGUUUCUCACACGUAAAACAGGCCCGAGGAACUUUCCUCAACAAGAGGGCCCUAAAACUGAAAUUGGAUGAUGUGUGGGAAGAGCUGGGGGUUAGCACUCGGAAGUAGACCCUUUGGGGGUCAGAUGACCUUGGGGUGCAGCAGGGACCGAUGCAGAGAGCAGGGCAGUUCUGAGAGCUGGUGGAGGCAGCAGACGGGACCGGAGAAGGGUGGUAUAUCUCAAGGACGGCUGGCGCGCGCGUGUGUGUCUGUGUCUCUGUGUGUGUCUGUGUGUGUGGGUGUGUGUCGCCAUGUCUGGGUGUGUGUCCGGGUGUGUGUCUCCAUGUGUGUGUGCGUGCAUGCCUGCAGGCUGAGCCUGGGCCAGAGGAUCUCCGUGCACACUGAGGUCUCAGCUUAAAACCCUAAGGGGGGCUGGUGACAGGUCCUCUCCCCUCUUGGCAUAACUCUUUCCAAGGAAGAGGAGCCGUGCUGAGCUCCAGGGCACUCUCGUACCCAGGCAAGCCCCGUGUGUGCCCUGGUUAUGGACUUGGUCACGUGGGGAGGGCAGUGAAAGACUAAACCUUUCCUAAAUAAACAGGCUUGGGAGGGUGGCAGCCAAGACUUUGAAGAACCAAAAUGCCAGGGCCUAAGAGCUAGACAGUAUUCUGGGGACGCACCUACUCUCGGGCCCGCGGGGAAGUGGCAACAGGCAAUUCCUCCCUCCCGUGACCCUCCCUGCACACCUGCUCAGGGCAGGUGCACCCCUUCUCCCUCCCCCACCCAAGGUUUCAGGAGGAGGAGGAGGGCUCCUGAGGCUGCUGGCAGCCUCACCACCAAACUGUUCUCAUCUCUUAUUGUUCCUGAGAUGGAACAUUUAAAUAAGAGAACUGAUGAUAAGUGGAAGCCAGCAGAAAUCAUUUACUCCGAGAAAGAAGACAAUUGCUUGAUUUAGACACCAAGUCCCUUGCCUGACUGUUCUCAGUACCAUGGUCUAAAUUUGACCUUGGGAGAUGGAUUGAAAGAGCCGCCUUGUUGGGGAGAGGACAGCAGGCGCCAGGACUCCGGGGCAACAUCUGUGGGCGGAGAACAAUGGCCUGCCUCGCCUCUGAGCCCUGCUCUGGGAGCAGACGCGACAGACUCCUGUCCAAGGCUAGUUCCUGCACCUCGUAUUGGAAGCAGGUCUGCAGCGCAGGGCCUGGGAGCAGGCUGGCAUUGACGCGUCAGCUUAGGCAUUGUUUUGAUCUCAGCUUUCCGUGUUUUCAUCUCCUCCAACCGGUGGGAGGCAGCAGAGAGGAGCUGGUCUGCCGAGGCUUUUUCCAGAACCUUGGGGAAAGCAACUAAACUACAGGAUUACAGAAAGAACAAGAGAUUGCUUUCUUGCAGUGGUGGCAAAGCCAGCAUACUUGGUAGCACUAGAAAAUCAUGGACUGAUCCUAGGAUCCAGAGGCCCUAAAUUAGCCUCCUGAAGGGCUCCUGUUUGGGGCCCAGGCCUAUAACAUGGGCUGUGGAGUCGGGGGAGGCAUUUCUUCCCUUCUUUUCUGGACGCAGGCAUAGCAGGUUCCAGGGACAGGAGGAGAGAGCAGCACUAAAGGCAGACCCUGUUCGCUUUCCAACCCAAGGAAGCUUUGGAAGAAGCAACCCUAGGAAGCUUUUUGAAACAAGGCCGCGUCAAGCAUUUUGGAUAUUUCUCUGUAAGGUUUGAGUCCUUGUUGAGUGACUUCAGAUAAAUCUGAGCCUCUGAAGGUUUCUGCAGUUCUAGGAUGGGAGGGAUAACCUUGCAAUUAUUGUAAGUAAUCUUGUAUGUAAGUACUUGUAAAUGAGUAAUCUUGACUGUUUUUGGGUUCUUAUGGUCAUAGUGGGACCCUAUGACCCCUUUCCCCUUUCUGGGAACACACUCCCACCCCUUUUCUACUGGGAAAUGCUCAUUUUCUUGUCACAUUGCUCCAACGGGAGCCAUCACGUCCAUGGGAACCUGCCCUUGGCCACAGUUGAUGGGCCAACGCUGAGCACAAGUCAACUGUGUUUAGUUUUUGCUGUCAAAUGAACUUACUUCAAAUGUAUUCAAUUUUUUUCUUUCAUGUUUUCGGGGCUUUUGGGGUUUUGGAAUUGUAGACAAUGGGCUGUGGAAUUAUAGGUAGUUGAGCCUGGGCAUCUUUAGAUCAUACGUGUCUAUUUUUCUCCAUUAGAAUGUGAAUUCCUUACGGGCAGCAGUGAACGUCUCCCCCAGGGGUCCUCGGGUUCCCUCAAGUUCAGCAUGGCUAAGGUGAAGUUGGGAGUGUGAAGAAUGGGGUGCAGUGAAGUCAAGCCAGAAAACUGAACUUGACAUCUCUCUGCACCUGUUCUUCCACCUGUUUCCUGAGUUAUCCUCUUAGUCAUCCAACCUGGAAGCCUGGGUCACAUGUGACCCUCCCACCCCAGCCUCGCUCAGCCUUCCACAUCCAGUAAAUCUUUUGGUCUUACGGAUUUCAUUUCCUAACUAUUUCUUGAAUUUGCCCCUUCUUACCUGUCCCCUCGUGGUUUGACUUUAUCAUUGCAUGUCUGUAUUAUGAUAAGAGCGCUACUGCUCUUUUUCCUCCAGUUUUGUCUCUCUCCCAUUCCCAUUCUUCACUAGCCCUGCCGGAGUGAUUGAUCUGUAAUGCACAUCUGAACAUGUCACUCUUAUUUAAAGUCUGCCUGUGAUUCCCUACUGCUUGCAGGGUCGAAUCCAGGCUCUAUGGUGCAGCACAGAUCUGACUCCUCUUCCUGCACCUACCUGCCGUUUCCUGCUUCAUGGACUUUUCUUGUUGGUGCUCUCUUUUUGCUUAGGAUAAUCCAUCCUCUAUUUCUUUAAAAGCCAUCUCAGACUUCAGCUCCUUGAGAUGAUAUCUUUGGACUGGACGAAAAGCCCUAGGAUACCCCAUCACUCUACGUGCCUCUAUCACUCAAGAUGUGAUUUUGGAUUGAAAAUAUUUUUCCAAUGACUGUCUCCCCAGCUCGACUGCCAAUUCUCUGAGAAUAGGGACCAUGCCGUAUUUGUCUCUGUAGCCUUAGUUCUUACUACAUGAUUAGAACUUAAUGGGUUCUUAGGAAAUGAUGAGUAUGAGAAAGAUGCUUCUGGGCUCAUCCGGGAAACUGAUGAGGUAGACCUCCCAGAAGUCUCUGCAAGGCAGUUGAGUAGACUCUGGAAAGAACCUGAAUGUAUGUGUGCUGAAGAGAUCGGAUGUAAGGGGCAGGGCAAGGUCUUAGUGAACCAGGAUUGUUCUGGAGAAGCCAACGUGCAGGGAAGCCAAGGGGACUGCUGGGUGAAGUCCUUUGGAGGCAUGAUGAGCCUGAUCCUGGGGUGGACACUCCUUGUGAGACGGGAGGAAUAUAGCCCGGUGGCAGUUACUUGAAAUCACCGUAGGCUCAGUGCUAAUAUGUGCUCUCCAGAAAAACGAUGUGAUUCUAACUAAAAAAAGAAAGGGUUCCUUCAACAAACGCUGUCAAGCAUUAGGGCACAAACAGCCUCUUAACAGUGUUUCCAUGAAAAGAAAGAGCCAUUUCCACCGAUUCCACUUCAUUCCCCAGUGGGCCACGCACAGCAUUGUAGGUAGUGAGAAGGUCGUGACACCGGCGCUGGUGCAUAUGGUGGAUCAAUGCUGGUGACCGGGAAGGACCUGCAUGGCUCCAGGGAGCAGCAGGCGAGGCCAGAGAGGCAGGUGGAGAAGCCCCCCAGGCAUCUCAGAGCAGCAGCCCAGCCAAGCAGCCGUGGCACCAGCAAUGGGACUGGCUCAAGGGCAGACACGAACCCCCCCCACCCCCCUCUCCGAGGAUUUACAGUAAUGCUUGGGGCAACUUUGAGGAAGGCUUUAGUUUGGGUGUGAAUUGGAGGGGGAGAGUGGAAGAGACAGGGACAUUUGGGUUCUUACUCAAUGAGACUUCCCAUCUUUUUUUUUUUUUUUUUGUCAUUUUGCCAUUUCUUGGGCCACUCCCAUGGCAUAUGGAGGUUCCCAGGCUAGGGGUCGAAUUGGAGCUGUAGUUGCCAGCCCACGCCAGAGCCACAGCAACACGGGAUCCAAGCCACAUCUGCGGCCUACACCACAGCUCACGGCAACGCCAGAUCCUUAACCCACUGAGCAAGGGCAGGGAUCGAACCCGCAACCUCAUGGUUCUUAGUCGGAUUCGUUAACCACUGUGCCACGACGGGAACUCCGAGACUUCCGAUCCAUACUGAAUGGGUUGGUGCUCGUGGGAGGGUAUAGUCUCCUGUUAUGGGGUGAAUUGUGUUUCCCUCCAAUUCACAUGCUGAAGCCCUAACCCUCCAAUAACUCGGAAUGUGACCUUAUCUGGAAAUAAAGUCGCUGCAGAUUUAAUUAGUCAAGAUGAAGUCAUCAGGAUGAGGACUCAUCCAGUAUGACUGGUGCCCUCAUAAAAAGGGGAAAUUUGGGUACAGAUAAGCGCACAGAAGGUACACCGUGUGACAAUGAAGGCAGAGAUGGGGAUAAUGUCUUUCUAAGCCAAGGAACGCUAAGGAUCGCUGGCAAACCAGCAGAAACCAGGAGAAAGGCCUGGAACAGACUCUCUCGCGUUGCUUCCAAAGGGAAUCAACCCUACCAACACUAGGAUUUUGAACAUAUAGCCUCCGGAACAGUGAGACGAGCCGUGAAGAUGGUCAGAUAUUCCAGAAGACGCAGCUGUAGGAUGACGGGCCGUCUGUUAACCUGGGUCUGCCAGUGACUGCAUGGAGCAGAGUCGUACUGCCUCUUAUUCCAAAAGCAGCAUGGACAAGAAGGAAACUUUCAUGAUGCAAAGCCACUGAGAUCCAGGACUUUUUACCACAGCACAGCCUGGCCCAGGAGUUCUCAGUCUGGUCGGCUGACUUGGGGACAUCAGAAAGGCCCACGUCCCCCCCAGGAAGAGCAGAGUUUGAUGAUGUCCGUUCCACCAGGGAGGAAGUGAGGCUCCGAGGUGUCAUUUACCGACUGCACAGAAUCACAGCUUGCUGUCCUAGAGAAGUGAGAGCCUGUGGUCAGCAGAGGGCAGUCUUGUUCUAACAACUACUUGGAGUCAUGGCUAAAGUGGUGCCUAUCUUUUCCAGACUUCUAAGCAGUCUCCAGCUCACCCUGCUGACCAGCCUCUUUUGGAUGCAUCUGUGGGCAGUGAGGAAAUGAUGAGUUCAGAUACGCCUUCUCUGUGCUCCUCCUCUGGUAAACGGACCCCGGAGGCAGGGAGCUUCCAUUUUCCCUCUGCCUUUAAGCUCAUCGCUGGAUGGCUCCUGUUUCCUCCAGAGCCUUAAUCUUCUUCCCUGCAGAAUGGGGCGGUCAACUCUCCUUUCCUGCCCACCUUGCUGGACAGGAAGAGAGGGUGUGUGACUAAACCUGGGAUAAGAUAAACUCCAGGAGAGCCUGGUGCUCUGGCCAUUUCCAUCUGGGUCUUGGAAUUGGGGUGUGGAGAACAGCCUAAGCAAGUCUGCGUGGCUCUGGAGGAAGCACCCUCUGGGGAACCCCCCGUGGGGCAGUUAGCUGUCUCCCGACUCACUGCUCUGAGAUGUGUUGCCAACCAGCUGCUCAGCUCACUUGCUGUCUUUCCUUCUCUGUCCUUUCUUCCACUUUUUCUCCCUUCUCCCUCAAACUCACUCCUUUACCCCUAUAUCUAGUGCAACCGUAUUUUUCAAAUUGAAAGUUGGGAUAUAGUCUGACCAUGGGUCAGGGUAUUUGCAAUCUGGACAUUGAUGGGCAUUCUAGAACAUUCGAUCACUCAAGCACUCUUAUUUCUUCUUCCUCAUUUGCCCUACUGCUGCUCUGGGCUAUGACUAAAUGGCCACAAGACAACCAGUGGGGGGGUCAACGGGAUGCCAAAUAUCCAGAUGUUUAGAAAUGUCCAGAUUGUGGAUUGAAAUGUUGCAGUUUUGCUUAUUAUGGGUGCUUGGAGCCUGGUGGACGCAAUUCAAUAAAAACAAAUAGAUGAAUAAAUAAAGAUAAUCUCUAUAAC